CCUACGGGAGGCAGCAGUGGGGAAUAUUGCACAAUGGGCGAAAGCCUGAUGCAGCAACGCCGCGUGAGUGAUGAAGGCCUUCGGGUUGUAAAGCUCUGUCUUUUGGGACGAUAAUGACGGUACCAAAGGAGGAAGCCACGGCUAACUACGUGCCAGCAGCCGCGGUAAUACGUAGGUGGCAAGCGUUGUCCGGAUUUACUGGGCGUAAAGGAUGCGUAGGCGGAUAUUUAAGUGAGAUGUGAAAUUCCCGAGCUUAACUUGGGAGCUGCAUUUCAAACUGGAUAUCUAGAGUGCGGGAGAGGAGAAUGGAAUUCCUAGUGUAGCGGUGAAAUGCGUAGAGAUUAGGAAGAACACCAGUGGCGAAGGCGAUUCUCUGGACCGUAACUGACGCUGAGGCAUGAAAGCGUGGGUAGCAAACAGGAUUAGAUACCCUGGUAGUCCACGCCGUAAACGAUGAGUACUAGGUGUAGGAGGUAUCGACUCCUUCUGUGCCGCAGUUAACACAAUAAGUACUCCGCCUGGGAAGUACGAUCGCAAGAUUAAAACUCAAAGGAAUUGACGGGGGCCCGCACAAGCAGCGGAGCAUGUGGUUUAAUUCGAAGCAACGCGAAGAACCUUACCUGGACUUGACAUCCCCUGAAUAGUGCAGAGAUGCAUGAAGCCCUUCGGGGCAGGGAGACAGGUGGUGCAUGGUUGUCGUCAGCUCGUGUCGUGAGAUGUUAGGUUAAGUCCUGCAACGAGCGCAACCCUUAUCAUUAGUUGCUACCAUUAAGUUGAGCACUCUAGUGAGACUGCCCGGGUUAACCGGGAGGAAGGUGGGGAUGACGUCAAAUCAUCAUGCCCCUUAUGUCCAGGGCUACACACGUGCUACAAUGGUGAGUACAGAGAGAUGCAAGACCGCGAGGUGGAGCCAAACUCAAAAACUCAUCCCAGUUCGGAUUGUAGGCUGCAACUCGCCUACAUGAAGCCGGAGUUGCUAGUAAUCGCGAAUCAGCAUGUCGCGGUGAAUACGUUCCCGGGCCUUGUACACACCGCC
rnacentral:rRNA from 1 species